rnacentral:rRNA from 1 species
AUUGAACGCUGGCGGCAUGCUUUACACAAGCAAGUCGAACGGUAACAGGUUAAGCUGACGAGUGGCGAACGGGUGAGUAAUGCAUCGGAACGUGCUCGGUCGUGGGGGAUAACGCAGCGAAAGCUGCGCUAAUACCGCAUACGAUCUGAGGAUGAGAGCGGGGGACCGUAAGGCCUCGCGCGAUCGGAGCGGCCGAUGUCCGAUUAGGUGGUUGGUGGGGUAAAGGCCCACCAAGCCGACGAUCUGUAGCUGGUCUGAGAGGACGACCAGCCACACGGGGACUGAGACACGGCCCAGACUCCUACGGGAGGCAGCAGUGGGGAAUUUUGGACAAUGGGCGAAGGCCUGAUCCAGCAAUGCCGCGUGCAGGAAGAAGGCCUUCGGGUUGUAAACUGCUUUUGUACGGAGCGAAAAGGUCCUUUCUAAUACAAGGGGCUCAUGACGGUACCGUAAGAAUAAGCACCGGCUAACUACGUGCCAGCCGCCGCCGUAA